rnacentral:siRNA from 1 species
UGUCGUCGGUAGCGGCCACGCC